CGGCAGGACACUUCACAGCAUCGGAUACAAGCACUCCAGAACCAACUGGUAGAAGAGAGGAGGGAACUCCAGGUUGUUCAUGCUAUAUUCGUCGUUCAUUGAUAAUAUAUCUUUUCUAUGCAUUAUUGUAACAUGUGGGUGAAAUGUUCUAGGCCCAACUUGAAGAAGAGAGGAGGCAACAUUUGGAGUUGGAUGCGAGGAUGAGGUCCGAGCAGCAGAGGACGGAGGACAUUCUUCGUUACAAACAGUCCGCAACGGGUGUAGCUCCACCACCUUCGCUAUUCACUCCAAAUCCACCUCCAUCUCAGUUUUCCACUCCUAAUCAAUCGGCGGCAUCGAAUGAUCCUCAUGUUUCACCAACUGACACUA